rnacentral:lncRNA from 1 species
UUGGGAACAGUGAAGACUUAGCAUUGGAAGUUGGAAGGAACAUUCUUUGAGCAAACGUUGAGGAGCAAGCUAAGGGAAACUGGAAUGUUAAGGUUGAUGCCUAAGAUGUUAGCUUUGAUAGCGGUGCAAAGGCAAACAGCAGCUUCGAGAUCGACGAGGCCAUUAAGAAGCGAACAGCAUGGCAUCACUGGGGGUGAACCAGCAGUGGCAUUGACUAAGCCAAGCACAUUAGCACAUACACCUAAUUUAAGGGCAUCUCUAGGGCAUUUGCCUUGUGAAGAUGGAGUGGGGGUGGGGUUGGGGUUUGGCUUUGGUUUAGGGGUGGGUGAAUAGCAAGAACCACAAGCACUGACCAGGGAAAAGAAGAGAAUGUUGAGUGCCAAAAAGAGGGCCAUGGAAGCUGAUCUUUUUGAUGCCAUUUUUGAUCUUCUCUUAAAACCCUAGUGAACUUGCUUUCUUGGCUUAGAGUUAAAAGUGCAAGUGUUUUGGGGGUGGGGAACUUGGAGUGAAGGGGAUGGGGGUUUUAUGGUGUUUAAAACAAGGCUAGUCGGUUGUUUUUUUUAUUAAUGUUGGGUUAAUUGAUGAAUAAAAUCAAAAUUUGAGGUGGCUGGUGAGAUUUGGAUGAUUGUGAUAUUUGAGGUGGAAAUUAGCACAUUGCCAUGUUACCAUUGCUCCUAUAAGAUCAACAUGUGGAUCUGGCUUAAACAUAGAAUAAUAUGAUUUGCAACAGUGAUCAUCAACAGUGGAGAUGGCAGCGUUGUUUGAAGCUUUUUGUGUUUGCAAAUUAAUUAUAAUCGAAAAACGUGUUCACGGGUUUGAAUUUGAAUUUGGGGCUUAAGAGACACUUACCUCUCCUGAGAUUCACAUAGAAUGGAUGGAUGUAAAGAAGGCAUGGUAUGAAGUUGUAAUUUUAUGGGAUUGUAUGAAAUUAUGAUUCCAUGUUAUCCCUAUUUCUUUAUAACAAGAGAAUGACAAAUCAGAUUUUUCUUCCUGAUUUUUAGUUUCAUACAAUCCUUUCUCAUGGAUGUAUUAUCGAUUUUCUCUCUCAAAAUAUAGGUUUAAGUUAUUUACAUAUAUAAAAUACAACAUCAUUUAUAUUAAAAUAUUUAUCAAAUUUUAAUUUUUAGGUAUCAAUAAAAUAAUGGGAUGUGAUUUGAUUUUGUAGACUCAUUCAUAUCUUAUCUUUAAUUAAAUUAUUUUUAAAAAAUGGAUAAUUAAAAAUAAAAAAUAAAAAUAAAAACUUUGGGUUGUACAAAAAUAUUUCCCAUUAAUGAAGUGUUAAACUUUCCCAUUUAACCAACGGGGUCAUAGCCAAAAAUAUUUUUUAGGGAUCAAGAUAAAAUUAUAAAGUUUUAGAGGGUCAAUUGGUAAAAGAUAAAAAAAUUAAAUUAAAUUAAAAUAGUUUCAGAGGGGCUAAAAAGAAAAUUUUUUCAUUAGUCAAAGGGCGAAAAAGGUUUUAAUUGAAUAAUUGAUUAAUGAGACUAAAAUUGAAAUUAUCCCAAUCAACCAAAAAAAGCAAGGAUAUGCCUGCCCAUAUUUUUUUUCAAUAGUCGAAUGGCUAAAAAGGUAUAAUUAAUUAAAAGGAGAGGCUAAAAUUGAAAUUAUCCCAAUUAACCAAAGAGGAAGGCUAUGCCUGCCCUUGGCUUCUUCUUCUUCUUUUUUUUUCUUUCCUGAAUGCUUCGCCCAUUUGUAUUAUUUAUGUAUUCUGUAAUGUUAUAAUGCUGUAAAUUUGAACUUUCCCGAGAAUAUAUAUAUAUAUAUAUAUAUACUAAUAUUCAACAAGUUCAGAGGAUAACCAUCAUCAAUAUGUUGAAUUAUCGUGAUAAUGCUGUUUAGUGGAAAUCAAAAUGUUAAGCAAUUCCAAGGAAUCUUUUGCCUUUAUCAGCAUUGAAAUCAGCUUUAUUUUUAUUUUUUAUUUUUAGAUUUUAAUGUGAUACCGUGUUAAAAGUACUAUGGAGGUCUUUAUAUCAAGAGUUGAAUUGCAUUUUACAUCUCUACUAAAAGAGUAAAUUAGUCCCUGUAUGUUUGAUCAAAGAAUCAAAUUGGUCAUUCUAUUAAAAAUUUCAUUCAUUUCUACUGUUAAAAAUUUGUCCAUAUAUGUCUGGUUAUUUUGUUAACCACACUAAUUUUUAACAAUAAAAGUGGAUUAAAUUUUUAACAGAAAAGAUCAAUUUAUUGUUUGAUAUUGUAACGUAUAAAAACUAAUUUAUUUAUUAUUGAGUAAAUAAUGACAAAAUACAAUUUAAGUAGUUGUAAAUGCAUUUCAGCUUAUAUUGUAUUUAUUACAAUUGCGACUGUAAUAGAUUUUAUACUUCAAUCAUUAGAGGUAAAUAUCAAUUAUGGAUAUUUAUGAUAAAUCAUUAAAUCAUUAGAGGUAAACUAAGCAAAGGGUUAGUGAAGCAAAACAUUAAAUCAUAUAAUUUCGUUAAUUUUCUUUUCCUUUGAUCCAAACAUAGUGUUAAUUACCAUUAUUAUUUAAAUUUCUACUCUCCUCAAGAUUUGAGAAAUGUAAUUAAGAAUAAGAUACAUUUUGGACGUUGAAAAAAAUGAUUUAAUUACGGUACAAAUAUGAAAUGGGGCUCAUAUUAAUAAAUUGAUAAAUAAACAAGGGAAUAAAUUAACGAGCUAAAUAAUACAAGUCUUUCCAUGUUCUUUGGAGUUAUAAAAAAACUUCAAACAACACUUGAAGAAAAGUAUUAAACUUAUUCUAUAUCUAUCCCCCACGAAGAAAUUAAAAUUACAAAUGAAAACACAUUAAAACAAUGAAGUUAUGGCAUCAUAACUUUAAAAAAAACCAAACACAAACCAUAAAGAAGUUGAGAAAGAAUGUAGGGGAAAAUCAAGACUUAAAUUAGCAUUGGAAGCCAGAAGGAACUUUCUUUGAGCAAACAUUGAGGAGCAAGCUAAGAGAAACUGGAAUGUCAAGGUUGAUGCCUAAGAUGUUAGCUUUGAUAGCGGUGCAAAGGCAAACAGCAGCUUCAAGAUCGACGAGGCCAUCGAGAAGGGAACAGCAUGGCAUCACUGGGGGUGAACCAAUGACGGGCUUGACUAGGCCAAGCACAUUAGCACAUACACCUAAUUUAAGGGCAU